AACGAACGCUGGCGGCAUGCCUAACACAUGCAAGUCGAACGGGAUCCUAGCUUGCUAGGUGAGAGUGGCGGACGGGUGAGUAACACGUGGGAAUCUGCCUUUUGGUUCGGGAUAACCGCGGGAAACUGCGGCUAAUACCGAAUGCCCUCGAGAGAGGAAAGAUUUAUCGCCAGAAGAGGAGCCCGCGUCCGAUUAGGUAGUUGGUGGGGUAAAGGCCUACCAAGCCGACGAUCGGUAGCUGGUCUGAGAGGAUGAUCAGCCACACUGGGACUGAGAUACGGCCCAGACUCCUACGGGAGGCAGCAGUGGGAAUAUUGGACAAUGGGGCAACCCUGAUCCAGCAAUGCCGCGUGAGUGAUGAAGGCCUUAGGG
rnacentral:rRNA from 1 species